rnacentral:lncRNA from 1 species
AUGGCCAGAAAAAUGUAUGUGGUGCUUCUAGUGACCGAUUUCUUUCUCUGGGGGUGGGAGGGAGGGAGCGCCGCGUGGAUGGAGCCCAUUCGCAUUGCAGUAGGGAAAAGCCCGGUACUGUUGGGGCACUAUAUCAGUAGUGGCUGUCAAUCUUUUCUCCUCGUGUUUUAAUCAUGCAACUCAACCGUUGUUUUAGUGGGCUAGCACACAUGCUGUAAAGGUAACUUUGGAACAGUGAUUUAGUGUGGCUGCUUUUUCCUGUUUCACAAAGUCUUCUAAAGAUCAGUUUUGAAGAAAGCUGCAGGGACCCAUUUGUAGUCCUUCCAUGAAAAAUGCAAACUAACUCUUGUUUUUCAGUUUGUAUAUGAUGUGACUUCCAUGUAUAUAUAAAAAUGACUGCGUCCUAACCAAACUUCCUCCAAUUGUGCACUGUGUUUGUUUAAACAAUUCAUGUAUUGUAGUGUGAUGCAGGUUUUCUUUUCUUUUAUUUAAAACACUACAUAUUUUCUCUUAUUCUUAACAAAUUUGAAAGGGUAGUGAUCUGAAAACUGCAAUCACUGGAUAGCUAAGAAGUGGUUUUGUUUUGGGUUUUUUUGUUGUUUUGUUUUUUGUUUUUUUGUUUUUUGUUUUUUUUUUUUUAAAGAGAGCAAAAGGUGCCUGGAUGGUUUUGCUCUCCUCAGCAGGAAAGAGAAAUGUUAGCCAUUGUAUGGCUAAGAACCAAUGCACUUGGGGCCUGAUCCAGAACCCAUUGGAGUUGAUGCGCGGCUUUCCAUCAACUUCAGUGUGCAUUGACUCAAGCCCUUCAUGGUUUAGCAGUUCCUGAAUUGCUGGAGUGUGAACUUGGAAUCUUCUGUAGUGAAGACAAAUCAUUGCUUAGAAUAUAAAUGUUUAAAACGUGCGACUCUAGUUAAAAAAUUUGAUUCUUCUCGACACUCAUUAUUUAGUUCUCAUUUUCCAUCUAGUAUUUAAUGGUCUUUGGAGAAAAAAAUAAUAAUAAAACAGAGUGUUAUAUAUAUAAAAAUAUAUAUAUUUUUGGUGCAAGAUGAGACCUUCUGUUUUUUGAAACAAGUCUGUAGCAUAAAGGUUAAACUAUUUUAAGACAAAAUAAAAUAGAGUGU